AUCCCUCUGACGAGUCCCAGAUAGGAUGAAAACACGCGUCAAACUGGAU
rnacentral:hammerhead_ribozyme from 1 species